AUCUUCGGCCAUGCGACGCUGAACAAGCCCGAUCCCGUCUGAUCUCGGAAGCUAAGCAGGGUCGGUCCUGGUUAGUACUUGGAUGGGAGACCACCUAGGAAGACCAGGUGCUGUAAGCA
rnacentral:rRNA from 1 species